CAUAUUGUUGUUACACAUAUUAUUGGUGCUACUAACUGUUUUUACCGUGGUAGUGCCACCUAGUGUAUUUACGUUUUACAGGGAGGCUUCUACAGAGCACAACUGCAUGAGGACAAAGAGUCGAGACCCGCUGGCCAUCUACUUUACCAGCGGAACCACCGGGGCCCCCAAGAUGGUCGAGCACUCCCAGAGCAGCUACGGACUGGGUUUUGUGGCCAGCGGAAGACUCUCUCCAAAUUCCCGAUAACCACCCUCUGCUGUGUCCCAACCAUCUUUCGGCUGCUUGUGCAGGAGGAUCUGACCAGGUACCAGUUUCAGAGCCUGAGGCACUGUCUGACCGGAGGAGAGGCCCUCAACCCUGACGUGAGGGAGAAGUGGAAACACCAGACUGGUGUGGAGCUGUACGAAGGCUAUGGCCAGUCUGAAACGGUUGUCAUCUGUGCCAAUCCAAAAGGCAUGAAAAUCAAGUCUGGAUCCAUG
rnacentral:lncRNA from 10 species